UACGUAGGGGGCAAGCGUUGUCCGGAAUCCUUGGGCGUAAAGCGCGUGUCGGCGGCCAGAAAAGUCCGCUGUGAAAACUCGAGGCUCAACUUCGAGCUGUCGGUGGAAACUUUCUGGCUAGAGUCCGGAAGAGGAGAAUGGAAUUCCUGGUGUAGCGGUGAAAUGCGCAGAUAUCAGGAAGAACACCCGUGGCGAAGGCGGUUCUCUGGGACGGUACUGACGCUGAGACGCGAAAGCGUGGGGAGCGAACAGG
rnacentral:rRNA from 1 species